GCAAGGAUAAUUUCGUAUAUAUUUUUGUUUAGUUUAUACGACCAGACACCUUGCGAAAGUAAAAUUAUGAAAAUUAUAAAA